rnacentral:misc_RNA from 1 species
GCAUGGAGUGUGUUUCUAUUUGAGUUUCUUGCUGCGUCAGAUUGUUUUAGCUGCUGGAUGACUUUGGACUUUGGAGUUUAGAACAGAAACAAUGAAAAAAAUAAAAUAUGCUCAUGCAAGAUAAUUCUCUUACAGAAACGUUACCCAAAAUUCUCAUAGUUCUGAAGACACACACACACACAAACACACAUAAUUCCUUGUUUGAUAAGGACUGCAAUUUUACCUGGGAAAAUUUUUAAUAAAUACUAAAUAGGAAGCAAACAAAAUGUAAAUGCCUGAUUAAAAAAUACUUUCCUUAUAAAUAUUGAAAAUUCCCAAAUCAGAAAUUUUUAGUGAAUAUGUAAAAUUCCUCAUACUUGAUGUAUGAACCAAGAUUUGAGGAACUUUGUGUGUAAAUGUCUCAGUUUGAAGAUGGCUAGUACAUUCUUCAGUUAACAUGGAUAGAUAGUUGUGAUAACUAGUCCUAUUAACUGUAACUGACAUAUCCUUUGCCCUUAUUCUGGUUAUGAUUGAAAGAAUUUGUUCUGCUCACCUCUGUUUUCAUAACCACCUUCGUGAAUAUGAUUAGCAAUUUAGCAACAUUAUCUUCAUGCAUAAAUGCAUAAGAUUUUCAUCUUCUGUAGUAAUUCCAGCAUUCUAUUGACAACAAUAUAAUGCACACCAUAUUAUUCCAGCUUGUAAGUUAAGGAUAUUAGUUAUUUUAGGUGUUCCACUGGCUCAGCAACAUCUUCUAUAAGGGAAAUGAAAGAAGAUCUUGCAAAUUGCAUUUUCCCCACUGAAGGGUGCUGUAUCCUAAGUGCCUAACUUUGCUCCUUUAUAUCUUUUUGAAAAUUUGAAUUGUUUGUUGAUAAGAGUAAGCAUCAUUUUGUUGUUGAAAUACUGUUAUUGCCAUUUGCUUUAAUGGAGAAUGGGUAUACUAUUUUUGCUCAAACUUCAUUGUCAAUGUGGAGAAUCAAGUAUUCUCAGUCCCCAGCAAAUGCAACCAACUUUCUGGGAUUCUAGAAUCAAUAUAAUUAUGGCUUAUAUUUCAAUUUUCUUGUUUCCCCAUUUUUUAUAACAUAAUUGUUUCUGAAAAAUAUAUAUGUUAAUUUGUAGGAUGACCAGGAUAAGAAAAUUCA